rnacentral:rRNA from 1 species
AACGAACGUUGGCGGCGCGCCUAACACAUGCAAGUCGCACGAGAAAGGGAGCAAUCCCCGGUACAGUGGCGCACGGGUGAGUAACACGUGGGUAAUCUUCCCUCGAGCGGGGGAUAACCUUCCGAAAGGAGGGCUAAUACCGCAUAAGACCACGGGCUCUACGGAGCGUGGGGUAAAAGCUGGCCUCUGCAUGCAAGCUAGCACUUGAUGAUGAGCCCGCGGCCCAUCAGCUAGUUGGUGGUGUAAAAGACCACCAAGGCGAAGACGGGUAGCUGGUCUGAGAGGAUGAUCAGCCACACUGGAACUGAGACACGGUCCAGACUCCUACGGGAGGCAGCAGUGGGGAAUCUUGCGCAAUGGGCGAAAGCCUGACGCAGCGACGCCGCGUGGGUGAUGAAGGCCUUCGGGUUGUAAAGCCCUGUGGAGAGGGAAGAAUAAGUGCUGGCUAAUAUCCAGCAUGAUGACGGUACCUCUUUAGCAAGCACCGGCUAACUCUGUGCCAGCAGCCGCCGUAACAC